CUGAUCUACCCCUUAGAGGGGGAUAACCUUUGGAAACAGAGGCUAAUACCCCAUAAGCUCACGGUCUAUAGAGGGCUGUGAGAAAAGUUCAGGCGCUAAGGGAUGAGGCUGCGAGCCAUCAGCUAGUUGGUGCGGUAACGGCGUACCAAGGCGACGACGGCUAGGGGACCUGAGAGGGUGACCCCCCACACUGGAACUGAGAGACGGUCCAGACUUCUACGGAAGGCAGCAGUGAGGAAUAUUGCACAAUGGGCGCAAGCCUGAUGCAGCGACGCCGCGUGGGUGAAGAAGGAUUUCGGUCUGUAAAGCCCUUUUCUGUGUGACGAGAGUGGACGGUAGCACAGGAAUAAGUCUCGGCUAACUACGUGCCAGCAGCCGCGGUAAAACGUAGGAGGCAAGCGUUAUCCGGAGUAACUGGGCGUAAAGGGCGAGUAGGUGGUUGGAUAAGUUGGUUAUGAAAGCUCCUGGCUAAACUGGGAGAGGUUGACCAAGACUGUCCGACUUGAGUGGAGAAGAGGUAAACGGAAUUCCGCGUGUAGUGGUGAAAUGCGUAGAGAUGCGGAAGAACACCAGUGGCGAAGGCGGUUUACUGGUCUCCAACUGACACUGAGCCGCGAAAGCAUGGGUAGCGAACGGGAUUAGAAACCCCGGUAGUCCAUGCCGUAAACGAUGCACACUAAACGUUCGACAUCCGCGAGGGUGUUGAGUGUUGCAGCAACGCUAUAAGUGUGCGCCUGGG
rnacentral:rRNA from 1 species